GACGUAGGAUGCAAGCGUUGUCCGGAUUCAUUGGGCGUAAAGAGUUCGUAGGCGGUUUGUUAAGUCUGAUGUUAAAGAUCGGGGCCCAACCCUGGGAGUGCAUUGGAUACUGGCAGACUGGAGUGCAGUAGAGGCAAGUGGAAUUCCGAGUGUAGAGGUGAAAUUCGUAGAUAUUCGGAAGAACACCAGUGGCGAAGGCGGCUCACUGGACCGGUAUUGACGCUGAGGUGCGAAAGCGUGGGGAGCAAACAGG
rnacentral:rRNA from 1 species